rnacentral:rRNA from 1 species
UACGUAGGGACCGAGCGUUGUCCGGAAUCAUUGGGCGUAAAGAGCGUGUAGGCGGCUUGCUAAGUCUUGCGUGAAAUCUCGGGGCUCAACCCCGAGCGGUCGGUGGGAAACUGGCAGGCUAGAGUGCGGGAGAGGAGAAUGGAACUCCUGGUGUAGUGGUGAAAUGCGUAGAGAUCAGGAAGAAUACCCGUGGCCGCAAGCGCCCACC